UAUCUCAGGAUGUUGUGUAUA
rnacentral:piRNA from 1 species